rnacentral:rRNA from 1 species
AUUGAACGCUGGCGGCAUGCUUUACGCAUGCAAGUCGAACGGUAACAGCACUUCGGUGGCUGACGAGUGGCGAACGGGUGGGUAAUACAUCGGAACGUGCCUAGUAGUGGGGGAUAACUACUCGAAAGAGUAGCUAAUACCGCAUGAGAUCUAAGGAUGAAAGCAGGGGACCUUCGGGCCUUGCGCUACUAGAGCGGCUGAUGGCAGAUUAGGUAGUUGGUGGGAUAAAAGCUUACCAAGCCGACGAUCUGUAGCUGGUCUGAGAGGACGACCAGCCACACUGGGACUGAGACACGGCCCAGACUCCUACGGGAGGCAGCAGUGGGGAAUUUUGGACAAUGGGCGCAAGCCUGAUCCAGCAAUGCCGCGUGCAGGAUGAAGGCCUUCGGGUUGUAAACUGCUUUUGUACGGAACGAAAAGCCCUCUUCGAAUACAGGAGGGUCAUGACGGUACCGUAAGAAUAAGCACCGGCUAACUACGUG